rnacentral:pre_miRNA from 1 species
UAUAUGUGCCGAAACUAGUGCUGGGUACUGUCUCUCCUCAACAUCGGGCCCCGACGUUGAGGAGAGACAGUGCCCAGCACUAGUUCUGGCACAUAUAACU